rnacentral:misc_RNA from 1 species
GAAAUGCGAUAAGUAAUGUGAAUUGCAGAAUUCAGUGAAUCAUCGAAUCUUUGAACGCACAUUGCGCCCGCCAGUAUUCUGGCGGGCAUGCCAGUUCGAGCGUCAUUUCAACCAUCAAGCCCCCGGCUUGUGUUGGGGACCUGCGGCUGCCCGCAGGCCCUGAAAACCAGUGGCGGGCUCGCUGUCACACCGAGCGUAGUAGCAUACAUCUCGCUCAGGGCGUGCUGCGGGUUCCGGCCGUUAAAAGCCUUUUUUACCCAAGGUUGACCUCGGAUCAGGUAGGAAGACCCGCUGAACUUAAGC